rnacentral:tRNA from 1 species
UUGGAACUGGCCGGUUUCGAUCCGGCGACCACUCGAAGGUAAGGCGAGCACUCUAUCCACUGAGUUACAGUCC